AAAAAAUUAGUUAAACCCAUAACAUUAGCUUGUCAAACUAAAAUUAUCUAUAAAGAUAUUUUUUA